ACCUAGAUACAAUAACCCAGGUCGACGAAGGUAUCAUCAUCAUUAAUGACGCUGCCAUAAGAGUCACUGAUCAAAAAGGCCUCAACCGAACAAUCACGGGGUCUUACCAAUGUCCCUAAAUGGGACAUUAUUCAUCAACCACUACAAGUCUUUGAAACAGAAACCAGCACCAUCCGUCGUGACUCAAGUCAACGUCACGAGCUACAAAAAUUACCGGUCUAUUGCGAUAAAUCAGCGGAAUUUGCGGUUACUGUGAACGGACACCCACAGGCGCAGCGUUAGCAUUCUGGACGUGGUGGUGUGAGAAGUCACGAGGCGCAACGUUGACAGAAAUAGCAGCAGAAGUGCCGCUAUAAAUAUUUGAAUAUAAAAUUGUACUUUAGUUUUAGACAGAGCUCAAAAGGGAUCAGUCGUAUUCUGAUGCACUUAAUAAAGAAGAAUAAUUAUUAUUUGAAAAACCUUAAUAAUUGUUUAAUUUACAUAAAUACAACUUCUGGUGCGUUCACAUUGUAUGUAUGCAUAUGUACACAUUUAUGUAUGAGCAUAGACGUUUUUCAUUUAAGCAGUCCGGCCGCUGGCAUCUUAUGCGAGCAGCGCAGCCGUGACUGAUUAAAUAUUCAAACAGUUAACUUUUAUCUUCGAAAUAAUAAAGAAUAAAUAAAACUCAAUAAAUACUACUCACAGAAUCGAUCAUUUAAGGUUAAUCGGACGGACAUGUGGACCCAAGUUCCACAAAAGAAACUAUCCCUAACUCCGUAGGACAACAAGACGCUCCAGAUUUUGGAAUUUAAUACGUAUUUUUUAUUCUUAAAUUUAAAUCCUACGCAUAGAAAUAAUAAAUAACUAAUAAGAAGUAAUGUUUCAUCGAUGAAAGGAGAUGAAAAAACUGACAUGAAAAUUGCCUAAAAAGGCAAUACUCUUACACAAUCGAAAUUUCUGUCUCUUUAAAAAUCAUUGAGGAUUUAGUGAUUUGUUAUGCUUUGUUUUAGCGAUUCAUACAUAGAUAGUUUUCAUACAAAUUGUGCGGUGUUUCACUGAUGAAAACUUGUGUAUUGAACUGUGGGAGUAUAUAUGACAAUUUUAUAUAGUCUAAAUGGUUGGAAGGAAUGGUUGAACAUAUACAUAUAGGGGUAUAUCUAUCACGUAGUAUUUUGUUCUUGUAAUAUAUAUAUAUAUUUGGGAGCAUUGCAAAAUAUCUGCAUUUGUGAUCAAAUUAAUCAGUAUAAAACGGGACUCUGAAUGAAUGGAAUCUUGUGAUUGAUAAGCUGAAAAUCUAUUUAUUGCCGUUGAGUAUAAAAUAUCACUUUUUGGUCGGAUUGAUGGCGUGGCAACAUCAGUUAACCGUUAACUUGGGCUGUGUCUUAUUGGAAUAUGCAUAUCUUAUCUAAACUUUUUAGCUUUAAUUGUUCCAGUAAUCCCGAAGUGUAUGCUGACGGACAGACGGACAUGUACAGAUAUGAUCGGAAAUCUGAUAUACCGUUUAACAGGUAUUCAGAUAACUAGAAAUAUACAAUGAAAUACUUACAUUCCCUUCUUAAGGAAUUAGUUUCAUCUGCCAGUCGUUGCUUAAAUGAAUCCAAUUUUUUAUUUAGUUCCAUUUCCUUUCCAAUUUGUUUUUUGAUAGCUUCUAUUCCCGCUAUAUUGUGUUUCAUUGCCUCCCUGUGUUUUCUUAAAAUCAAUGUUAAAAAACUUAAAUCCUUUUCAUUUGCUUAGCUUACCUUGCUGCGCUUUGUACUUGAAAUAAAAUUUUAUCUCUCAACUGAAUGGCUAUAAUAACCUCGUUCCAUGCCUGUGUGAGCCGUUUGUGUUCAUUUUGCAAAACCUCUAAAUCUGUAUUGGCAUUUGCUAUGCUCAUAUUUAAAAUAUUAAUCACUUCUUUCAUUGUAGCUUCUUCUUCACAAAUCGACAGUAACUCGUUUUCUCUCUUUUUUAUUUCUAUAUCCAGCCUAUAAAAGAGUAUAUCUGAUUUUCGUUUUUCCUGUGAUAGCUGGUCUUGCAACUGGGCGUCUCUACUAACAAUGCGUUUAGCAUUUUUUACUUCAUCCUCAA